UGGGGCUGUGUCGGUGUGGUAAUGUGGGCCGGUGUGGCUACAGUGCCAGGGCUGAAUUUUUGUCCCUUUAUGCAGUAUAAAUAAACAUU